GUUAAAUGCAAGGAUUCUGAAUUCUUGAGUUUGAAAUUUAGCUCUGCUGAUUACAAGCUGUAUAAUUUUGCACAAUUUUGUGUCUUGGUGCUGCAGUUUCUUCAUCUGUGAAAUGGGAGUAAUACCACUUACAUGAGACUUGCUGUGAGGAUGGUAUGAGUUAGUAUUUCUUGAGCACAUAGCAGAACCUGACUCAGUACUCUAAUAGUUAUUAAAAAUUUUAAAAGCGUAAUGUGCAAAGAAAGUACUGUAGCCUUGGGAGUUGAUAUUGCAGACAUAAUCGUCCACAUAAUAACUUUCUGUGUGAUGACUGCAUUGUUGGUCAUGUUUUCAGGUUGAUCCAACUAAUGGAAGAAAUAAUGGCUGAAAAGGAAAACAAAACAAUAAUAUUUGUGGAGACAAAGAGACGCUGUGAUGAUCUGACUCGAAGGAUGCGCAGAGAUGGUUGGCCAGCUAUGUGUAUCCAUGGAGACAAGAGUCAACCAGAAAGAGAUUGGGUACUUAAUGGUAAGUUUAAAACUAAGCAUUUUCUGUUGAUUCCCCACCCCCUGCCCAUAAGUGAAUGUUCAUGCUCUAUUUCAGGGAUAGGCAAACUUUCUGUAAAGGGCCACAUAGUAAGUAUGCUUGGCUUUGUAAACCAAAUGGUGGUCUCUGUUAUAGCCACUCAGCACUGCUGUUUUAGGACAAAAGCUGUAGGCUGUAGAUAAUAUGUAAAGAAGUGGCCUGGACUGGGCACCGUUGGUGGCUCAUGCCUAUAAUCCUAACACUUUGGGAGGCUGAGGCGCGUGGAUCACCUAGGCCCAGGAGUUCAAGACCGGUCUGGGCAACAUAGUGAAAUCCUGUCUCU
rnacentral:lncRNA from 10 species